rnacentral:tRNA from 2 species
GGUCUCGUAGCUCAGGGGGAGAGCGUCCGCCUCACACGCGGAAGGUCGCUGGUUCGAUCCCAGCCGGGACCACCA